CUGUGGCCAGGAUGUGGGCAUCAGCAGGCUCUCCUGGGACCUGGGGAUAGGGCACAUAUGGUGGCCCUGAGAGGAGGGCUGGAGUCAGGAGUGCAGCCCCACUGAGAGGCAAGGAUGCCAGCAGGGCCUGGCUGGGUCCCCAAGGCUCUGCCUCUGCUCAUGUUUUCCAGCCUGAGUGCCUUCUGAGGCUGAGCUGAUGGAAUGAAGAUUCUCAUCUGGUUCCUGCAGACCCAGGCAAACUCCCUGUUCCUGAGGGCUCUCCCUGCCCAGCCCAUCCUGAGAGUUGUGGUGAUGGCUGUCCACAUUCCUGGUGAGAGUCAGUGGAACCAAGGACCUUGUCCUCACGAGUGACAUAGCCUGAUGUGACCUGUCUAGCUUCCUGCAGGACCAGUGCCAGUGGUAGCCUUGUGUGGCACUUGGGCAGAUCAGUG
rnacentral:lncRNA from 1 species